CCUAUUGGAGUAUGGACCAACACUGUAACUAUGACAGAUCUGCCACUGCAAUCUGGUCAUGAAUGCGAUUUCCAAACAAAGGAAGGGACAGAGCAUGAACAGGGGAGGAACAGAGAG